CCUACGGGAGGCAGCAGUGGGGAAUAUUGCGCAAUGGGCGAAAGUCUGAAGCAGCGAUGCCGCGUGAGGGAUGAAGGUCCUCUGAUCGUAAACCUCUGUUAGCAGGGAAGAACGGUCACUGUGCUAAUCAGCAGUGAAUUUACGGUACCUGCAAAGGAAGCAUCGGCUAACUCCGUGCCAGCAGCCGCGGUAAUACGGAGGGUGCGAGCGUUAAUCGGAAUUACUGGGCGUAAAGCGCUCGUAGGCGGUAUGUCAAGUCAAAGGUGAAAUCCCCGCGCUCAACGUGGGAACUGCCUUUGAAACUGGCAAGCUGGAGUGUGUGAGAGGUUGGUGGAAUGCCAGGUGUAGGAGUGAAAUCCGUAGAUAUC
rnacentral:rRNA from 1 species